rnacentral:rRNA from 1 species
GAUGAACGCUGGCGGCGUGCUUAACACAUGCAAGUCGAACGGAAAGGCUCCUGCUUGCAGGGGUACUCGAGUGGCGAACGGGUGAGUAACACGUGGGUGAUCUGCCCUGCACUUCGGGAUAAGCCUGGGAAACUGGGUCUAAUACCGGAUAGGACGAUGGUUUGGAUGCCAUUGUGGAAAGUUUUUCGGUGUGGGAUGAGCUCGCGGCCUAUCAGCUUGUUGGUGGGGUAAUGGCCUACCAAGGCGUCGACGGGUAGCCGGCCUGAGAGGGGGUACGGCCACAUUGGGCCUGAGAUACGGCCCAGACUCCUACGGGAGGCAGCAGUGGGGAAUAUUGCACAAUGGGCGCAAGCCUGAUGCAGCGACGCCGCGUGGGGGAUGACGGCCUUCGGGUUGUAAACUCCUUUCGCUAGGGACGAAGCGCAAGUGACGGUACCUGGAGAAGAAGCACCGGCUAACUACGUG